ensembl:lncRNA
GAGGGCUGUGCCCAAGACUGCUCACUCGCCCAGCCCCACCCAGAGACUGGUCCCCUUCUUGCCACAGAACCCUAACUUUCCCGUGCAGUGGACAUCUGAGCUCCUGACCUCCGGCAGACCCCACAUGUGGCAAUCACCCCAGCUCUGGGCCAACAGCCCCAGGGGAGGCCCAGGAGCCUGCGCCUGACCUCACGCACGUGCAACCUGCUGGAGGAAGUGAGCACAAACACACGUCCUGCCUGGGCAGAAAGUGCGAAGCCAGGUGAGCAGAGUAGCUGGACAGAAAUCCACACCAACACCCACGGAGUGGCCCUGGGGUAAAGGAACAGCCUGGGCACAGAGAGGACACUGUCCAGUGACCGAGGGGCCAGCGAAAGGGGAUGGACCCAGCUAGAAAGCUGCAAAAUGCGCAAGGCCAAGGCCAGUAAAAUGUCAAGGACAAAAUGUCCCCCCGACUCUGCAAGGGGAACUGGGAGACCACGCCCUGCAGAACACCCCUCUCCCCCUGCAGGGGGAACACUCACAGGGAGACCACGCCCUGCAGAACACCCCUCUCCCCCUGCAGGGGGAACACUCACAGGGAGACCACGGCCUGCAGAACACCCCUCUCCCCCUGCAGGGGGAACACUCACAGGGAGACCACGGCCUGCAGCUCAGAACACCCCUCCCCCUGCAGGGGGAACACUCACAGGGAGACCACGGCCUGCAGCUCAGAACACCCCCUCCCCCUGCAGGGGGAACACUCACCGGGAGACCACGCCCUGCAGCUCAGAACACUCCUCACAAACCUUCAAAAAACAGAACUCAGACAAAGCAUGUUCUCCGACACAAAGGAAUUAAACUAUAAGGAUAUCUGGAAAAACUCCAAAUAUUUGGAAAGCCACUUACUUGUACAUAACCGUGGCUCAAAGAGAAAAGUCUCAAAGAAAUUUUUAAAAUAUUUUAAUUGUAGGAAAAUGAAAAUGCAAACACAUCAGACUUUGUGGGAUUCAACUAAACAGGACUCUGCGGAAACUGACAGCACUGAGUGUUCACGUAGGAAAAGUAGACCUCGUGGAACCAAGAGUCAGGCAGAAGCAGAGAAAUAAUGAGAAGUACAAAAUCUAAAGCAUAAAAUUGUAGGGAAAAAUCAAUGAAACCAAAAGCUGCCUCUUUGAAAGGAUCCGCAACAUUGAUAAACCCCUAGCCAACACCAGCCAAGAAAUGGAGGAGACGCGAGUUGCCCAAAUCAGGAAUAAGAGGGCGCCGCACCGCCGCACGUGCCGCAGGCGUGAGGAGGCAAGCAAGGGGAUGCUGCUGAGGGCUGACCUAAGCCCCGCCCCGGCCUCCACGGAGGAGGUGCCCGGGGUUCGCCUGAUACAACCCACACCGUCACAGGAAGAGACAGCAGGGCCCUGGACCGUCUGCCAGCCGGCAAGACAGCCCGCCCCCGCCAGCACCCCGACCCCACCUCCCAGGCCCAGAACCGUGAGAACACGUCCAUUCCUUGACAGUCAGCCUGCGGGACUUGCCACGCAGCCCAGGAGCACCAACACAGAACUCGUGCUGCCCCCACACUGCGAAGUAAACGUGCAGAAGCAACCGAUCAAUUUCCUAAAGCCCACGAAACCCACCUGAGAAACCGCGAGCAACCUGGACAGUCUGUCUCCGUCCCAGGAAGAGACCCUCCGGGAUGGCUUCACUAGUACAUCCCACUGUGUAGAGAAGGAACGACACCAGUUAUCUGCAGGCUUUGGUAUGAAUUUAGGAAAAACUGAAAGAUAACAGCUGAUGGACUGCACUGCCCCGGAAGCCAUGGCCAAGUCGCCACGGGGACGGCAGACGAGCACCUCGUGAACACUGACCAGCAACGCAGUGAGCCACACAGGCGGCAGGUCCCAGCCACGCGCUUUCACCCAAGGCUCAGGGCUGCUUUAGCACACCAGGAACCCAGGGAAUUACUAAAAACCAAAGAAAAAUGCACACGAUCACCUCAGUAUGUGCAAAAACUCAUCCGACGAAACCCAAACCCACCCACGAUAACUUAAAGCCUUCACCUAGCUAAGAACAAAAGCAGACGUUUAACCCGGCGGGCCUGCGGCGGGCGUC